rnacentral:tRNA from 1 species
UCCUUGGUGGUCAAGUGGCUAAGAUUCUGCACUCGCAAUGCAGGAGGCAUGGGUUUGACCUCUGGUCAAGGAA